AGUGAACGCUGGCGGUAGGCCUAACACAUGCAAGUCGAACGGCAGCACAGUAAGAGCUUGCUCUUACGGGUGGCGAGUGGCGGACGGGUGAGGAAUACAUCGUAAUCUACUUUUUCGUGGGGGAUAACGUAGGGAAACUUACGCUAAUACCGCAUACGACCUACGGGUGAAAGCAGGGGAUCUUCGGACCUUGCGCUAUUGAAUGAGCCGAUGUCGGAUUAGCUAGUUGGCGGGGUAAAGGCCCACCAAGGCGACGAUCCGUAGCUGGUCUGAGAGGAUGAUAAGCGACACUGGAACUGAGACACGGUCCAGACUCCUACGGGAGGCAGCAGUGGGGAAUAUUGGACAAUGGGCGCAAGCCUGAUCCAGCCAUACCGCGUGGGUGAAGAAGGCCUUCGGGUUGUAAAGACCUUUUGUUGGGAAAGAAAAGCAGCAGGUUAAUACCACGCUGUUCUGACGGUACCCAAAGAAUAAGCACCGGCUAACUUCGUG
rnacentral:rRNA from 1 species